rnacentral:misc_RNA from 1 species
GUUCUACCGUAUAUGGACUAUGUCUUUGGAAAUGAGACUGAAGCCAGAACCUUUGCGAAGGUUCAUGGUUGGGAGACUGAUAAUGUUGAGGAGAUUGCUUUAAAGAUCUCUCAGUGGCACAAAGCAUCAGGGACACACAAAAGAAUUACUGUUAUCACGCAAGGUGCUGAUCCUGUUGUGGUUGCUGAGGAUGGGAAAGUGAAAUUAUU